rnacentral:lncRNA from 1 species
AGGUAAGACAAUGAAAUAUCCAGCCCAGCAGGACAGAAGAUUUGAGAUUUGGCUGGUUGGAAGUUUUAGAGCAGCUGUCAUAUUUGAAAGACUAAGUGCACAUCUCUAUAAAUGCACUUAGUCCAUCUAUCCCUUUUAAAGAAGUCACCACUGGUUAUGACAUAAACUUGAUGAAGAAUAUUGAAACUCAAAUUGCAGACAGAGUGUGUCUGACAAGGUUUUGGGGGUGAUGGUGGCAAGAGAAUGGCCAUUUUUAACAGAAAGAGGAUGCAGAUCUCAUUUUUAUUUGGAGGAUGCAGAUCACAUUUUUCUGUCUGUUCACAUCACAGGUAUGGACUAACAACACUCUAUGUGGCCUAAAAACCAACCAAAUCAAGUUUCUAUCAAGGCAGAAGAGGCAGGACAGCCAAGGAAUUGAGCAUAAAGGACACUCUACUGUGAGAGCUAGCCUUGAUUUGACAUCUGACAUGGACAGAACUUCCAGCAGGACCUUGAAUGUUAACGCAUUACAGAUGCCAGAACCUCUGUCUACCUAAGGCCCUCAGUGACUUUGUGAAGCAGAGUCUCACCUCCAGGCUGGAAACAUCCUGGACUAUUACAUGAACAAGAAAUAAACUUCACUGUGCUGCUACUUUUAGUAGGUCUUUUUGUUACUGCGAUGUAAAAUAACAAUUCUAGCUGAUGGAGCUAGGGAUCUGCAUGACGGAAACAGUGCUUUAACAAAAUGGCAUACCUGGGAUUAAAGAAGGAAUAAUAAAAUCACUAGCAUUUAUUGAGUGCCUAUUGAAUGCUUUAAAUAAUAACUUACAUAAUUCUUACUAGAUGCCAGGAACUGUUGCAUGCACUUUAUGAAUAUUAACUAAUGUUAGUUCUCUGAACUCUAUUAGGUGGGUACUACCAUUGUUCGCAUUUCACAGAUGGAUAAACAGAGGUAUAAAGUGUUGAAAUAACUUGCCCAAGAUCAC